GACGUAGGGCGCGAGCGUUGUCCGGAUUUAUUGGGCGUAAAGAGCUCGUAGGCGGUUCCGUAAGUCAGAUGUGAAAACUCAGGGCUCAACCCGGAGACGCCAUCUGAUACUGCGGUGACUGGAGUCUGGUAGGGGAACACGGAAUUCCUGGUGUAGCGGUGAAAUGCGCAGAUAUCAGGAGGAACACCGAUGGCGAAGGCAGUGUUCUGGGCCAGUACUGACGCUGAGGAGCGAAAGCGUGGGGGGCAAACAGG
rnacentral:rRNA from 1 species